AGAGUUUGAUCCUGGCUCAGAACGAACGCUGGCGGCAGGCCUAACACAUGCAAGUCGAACGGGCGUAGCAAUACGUUAGUGGCGCACGGGAGAGUAACGCGUGGGAACCUUCCUUUUGGUUCGGAAUAACACCGGGAAACUGGUGCUAAUACCGGAUAAGCCCCUUGGGGGAAAGAUUUAUCGCCGAAAGAUGGGCCCGC
rnacentral:rRNA from 1 species